AUUGAACGCUGGCGGCAUGCCUUACACAUGCAAGUCGAACGGCAGCACGGGAGCAAUCCUGGUGGCGAGUGGCGAACGGGUGAGUAAUAUAUCGGAACGUGCCCAGUCGUGGGGGAUAACGUAGCGAAAGCUACGCUAAUACCGCAUACGAUCUAUGGAUGAAAGCGGGGGAUCGCAAGACCUCGCGCGAUUGGAGCGGCCGAUAUCAGAUUAGGUAGUUGGUGAGGUAAAGGCUCACCAAGCCGACGAUCUGUAGCUGGUCUGAGAGGACGACCAGCCACACUGGACUGAGACACGGCCC
rnacentral:rRNA from 1 species